GUUUGAAUCCUGGGUAAGCCAGAGGUCCAUGGUUUGAAUCCUGGGUAAGCCAGAGGUCCAUGGUUUGAAUGCUGGGUAAGCAAGAGGCCAAUGGUUUGAAUCCUGGGUAAGCCAGAGGUCCAUGCUUUGAAUCCUGGGUAAGCCAGAGGUCCAUGGUUUGAAUGCUGGGUAAGCAAGAGGCCAAUGGUUUGAAUCCUGGGUAAGCCAGAGGUCCAUGGUUUGAAUCCUGGGUAAGCCAGAGGUCCAUGGUUUGAAUGCUGGGUAAGCAAGAGGCCAAUGGUUUGAAUCCUGGGUAAGCAAGAGGCCAAUGGUUUGAAUCCUGGGUGAGCCAGAGGUCGGUGGUUUGACUCCUGAGUAAGCAAGAGGCCAAUGGUUUGAAUCCUGGGCAAGCCAGAGGUCCAUGUUUUGAAUCCUGGGUAAGCCAGAGGUCAAUGGUUUGAUUUCUGUGUAAGCCAAUAUGUUUUAAUACAUAAUACAUUUAUUUUCAGUAACUUUUUUUCUUGCUAUUACAAUUUGUUAAGACCGUUCAAAACAUUAAAGAUUUGUAAAUAAACAUACUAGUAUUAUAUGAGAUUUUUCAAAAAUCCUAAAAACUGUGAACAAGUCCCUUUAAUGUACUUGCUCUAUUGCCAUGGAGUGUUGAUAGGAUUUUAACUUUUGUGUCAACAUGUGUCUUUUGUAAAUAACUUUUGACCAUGUGUGGAGUUGUUUUUGCCAUUUUGCAUUUAAUUUGUAAUAAUGUGUUUGAAUUCAUUAUUAUUGUCAAGUACGUUGUCAAUACAAUUUGAUUUUGUUAAUUUAAAAUAAGUUAUAGCAUAAUAAGUAAUUAUGCAUGACUGAUGAAUUGAAAUAUUUUUUUGUAUAUAUUUUCAUGUGAAAGACAGAUUUAUUACAUUUGUAUAAUAUUGAUAUUUAUUUAAAGAAUUGUAUUUAAUAGGGAUGGCAUCGAAUACCAAUAUCGGUAUUCGAAUGUACGCAAAUUCAUUCAAUCGAAUAUUCGAAUAUUCGCAUAAAACGGCUGGAUUGAUUUUACCUUGUUAUGUGUUAAUUUCCAUUGGUUUGUAAGUUAUAUCCGUUUGCUAAAUACGAGGCUGUUUAUUAACGUUGCUAUCGAAAAAUUGUAUCGCUGUCGACUAAAACUAUGACCGAUAUUGUGAUCGGGCACAAAUAGAAUGAAAAACAUCGUGUCAUAGAAUUUUAUUUUUUAAUGAUUCCACAGAUUUGUAGCAGACCGCGUUUAUGUAAAACUAAGUUUACACACAUUGCACGUUGCGGUAUUCUUAUCCACAGACCGUGUAAAGUAUUCCAUACUGCAGAAGGGGCUGGUGGCAUUUUCAGAUUUGAAUUAUGAUUCCUUGAUGAUUGUUUAGUUUAUAUCAUCUGUUACUUUUGAGAAAUUCACAUAUUUAAAUGUCUUUUCAAACUGUGAUCACAAAAACUAAAUUAUUAUUCGCAAGUAAAUUGAAGCCCUUAAUUGGUACCUAAUUGACAAACAACGGUUCGGGCCCUUUCUUAUCGUAAGUGUAUUGCAUUGCGCGAUUUGAGUAAUUCACACAUUUUAAUGGCUGUACAUACUGUGAUCACAAAACUUAAUUAUUAUUCGCCAAUCAAUUGAAACCGUUGAUUGGCACUCCAUUGGCAAACAACAGUCGGGGCCUUUCUUAGAACGUGCAUAUUGCAUUGCGCAAUCAACACUGAUACGGGCCGCGUUAUCAGUUUGACACGAAGAACGUCACGUCAAACAUGUUACUCGCAGGUGAUUUCGGUUGCUUUUUAGUAAGCGGUUCGCAGGUCAUUAAAUAUUGGUGAAAUUACGUUUGGAUCAAAAUGCGAAUAUGCGAAUAUCAUUUUUAUUAUUCGAAUGCUUACCAUUCAAUCGAUUAUUCGAAUAAUUUUGCCAUCCCUAGUAUUUAAGCUACAUAUUGAUGCCUUUUCCAAAAUAAGAUCAUAAAUACUCUGGAACUGACAGGUACCAAGUGAUAAUGUGAAGUUAAGGAUUAAUUCUCAAAGUGGAAGCAACUUAUCGCAUGUGCUUAUUCAAACUACAUAAUCCAUACAUCAGAUGAUUUUAAAUAACCACUGUCUUAUACAUGCAACUCAUACCUAACCUUUUGCAGUAUAAUAUUAGACUUACACUUUAAUGCAUGCAGUAAGA